rnacentral:rRNA from 1 species
GACGAACGCUGGCGGCGUGCUUAACACAUGCAAGUCGAACGGAAAGGCCCUGCUUUUGUGGGGUGCUCGAGUGGCGAACGGGUGAGUAACACGUGAGUAACCUGCCCUUGACUUUGGGAUAACUUCAGGAAACUGGGGCUAAUACCGGAUAGGAGCUCCUGCUGCAUGGUGGGGGUUGGAAAGAUUCGGCGGUUGGGGAUGGACUCGCGGCUUAUCAGCUUGUUGGUGGGGUAGUGGCUUACCAAGGCUUUGACGGGUAGCCGGCCUGAGAGGGUGACCGGCCACAUUGGGACUGAGAGACGGCCCAGACUCCUACGGGAGGCAGCAGUGGGGAAUAUGGCACAAUGGGCGGAAGCCUGAUGCAGCAACGCCGCGUGCGGGAGGACGGCCUUCGGGUUGUAAACCGCUUUGGCCUGUGACGAAGCGUGAGUGACGGUAAUGGGUAAAGAAGCAACGGCUAACUACGUG